rnacentral:rRNA from 1 species
UACGUAGGGUGCAAGCGUUGUCCGGAAUUAUUGGGCGUAAAGAGCUCGUAGGCGGUUUGUCGCGUCUGCUGUGAAAACUCGGGGCUUAACCCCGGGCCUGCAGUGGGUACGGGCAGACUAGGGUGCGGUAGGGGAGACUGGAAUUCCUGGUGUAGCGGUGAAAUGCGCAGAUAUCAGGAGGAACACCGGUGGCGAAGGCGGGUCUCUGGGCCGUAACUGACGCUGAGGAGCGAAAGCAUGGGGAGCGAACAGG